UUGUUUGUUUUUUUUUUUUUUUUUUCUAAAUUAAUUAAUCACUGGCUUGUUGUGAUAGAAAAACAUGAGGAAGACGACACUGCCAGGGACCAGAUCAUCGAUAGUUACAUCAAAACCCAAGCUAUGGUUGUUGGAAGAGUGAGUGCUCCGCGGUAUCGGAUGUUGCCAACGCAGACAAAUUUGAAUAUGCCUCCACUUCCUUCCAAUAUGACGGAAAAGGUUCUUCCAGUUGCAGCAACACAAUCAAAGACCAAUGGGGGUGAAUGAUGGGAGGAGCAUCGAUCCAUCUGAGCUGCAAGAGAAGUUGACCGACUUAGUCAUCCGGACUUCAAGUUAGAUCCCCUUUUAAUUUUUGUUUCUCUGAUGUUUUUGUUUUCAAACUAGAAUGGGGGCUUUGAGUUGGAUUUUGAAGUGUGAACUUGUGGUGCUUAUGGGGGCUACUUUCUACUCUUGGGAAGUUUGUUGUCUAUAUUUUUGGGAUAGUCUUGGUUUUACAUGUUAUCUGUUUAAGUUUUUAUCAGUGGAAGAAAUCACUUUUCUGAAAAGUGUCUUCAUCAAACGUCUCCUGACCUACCAUUCCUUGUUCAUCCACAACAUGUGAAUCCAUCCCACACUCGGCUCUGAACUUGGAGAGCUCUCACUGCAUCACCAUGAUGGAAGCCGUUAACAACGGCAAGGAUCUUCACGUCUCUGUCACCAUGCCUUCCAUUGAGGUGAGGACAGUCUCAAGGGAGCAAGUAAAAGCACUAAGGAAAGCUAUUGAUGAUGUAAGUUGCAAUGGUUUACUUUGAAUAGUUUCUCCAUGCAAACUACAUUUUCAGAGGCAACUUAAAGAAAUGUUUUAGAGAGUUUGAAGUUGAAGCUAGAAAAAAGAAAGUUUGAAGAUGGGGUCGUGGUUGUGCUUUUUGAAUUUCCUUAGCUGAUGUGAAAACUUCUAAUACAUUUUGAUGGAUUCUUUUGAGGAAACUUGUGGUUGUGUUCACUAUUUUUGUGAAAAAUUAUUUUCAUUGUGUAUACUUCUUUUGUAAAAACUUGGUGUUCAGUACAGUAUUAUCUAUUAGUAGACAUGCAAUUUGGAUGGUA